rnacentral:rRNA from 1 species
AUUGAACGCUGGCGGCAUGCCUUACACAUGCAAGUCGAACGGCAGCGGGGGAGAAGCUUGCUUUUCCUGCCGGCGAGUGGCGAACGGGUGAGUAAUACAUCGGAACGUGCCCUGUAGUGGGGGAUAACUAGUCGAAAGAUUAGCUAAUACCGCAUACGACCUGAGGGUGAAAGUGGGGGACCGCAAGGCCUCAUGCUAUAGGAGCGGCCGAUGUCUGAUUAGCUAGUUGGUGGGGUAAAGGCCUACCAAGGCGACGAUCAGUAGCUGGUCUGGGAGGAACCUCGACCACACUGGGACUGAGACAAGGCCCAGACUCCCACGGGAGGCAGCAGUGGGGAAUUUCGGACAAUGGGCGAAAGCCUGAUCCAGCAAUGCCGCGUGUGUGAAGAAGGCCUUCGGGUUGUAAAGCACUUUUGUCCGGAAAGAAAUGGCUCUGGUUAAUACCUGGGGUCGAUGACGGUACCGGAAGAAUAAGGACCGGCUAACUACGUGCCAGCCGCCGCGGUAA